UACAGAGGGUGCGAGCGUUGUUCGGAAUUAUUGGGCGUAAAGCGCUUGUAGGCGGCUUGUUAAGUUCCGUGUGAAAUCCCCAGGCUUAACCUGGGAAGUGCGCGGAAAACUGGCGAGCUUGAGUGCCGGAGAGGGUCGCGGAAUUCCCGGUGUAGAGGUGAAAUUCGUAGAUAUCGGGGAGGAACACCAGUGGCGAAGGCGGCGACCUGGACGGACACUGACGCUGAGAC
rnacentral:rRNA from 1 species